AAGACUUUCUCCUCUCGAGUCAUACUGUCUUCGGAUACCUCGGGAUGCAUUUUAGUCCCUAUGCGCCACUUGGGGGCCGGCCCUCACCUGCAAAUCGGCUGACCCUGAACGACCCUCAUUUGCUGUGUACCGGAAGUGCUUGGCCUUCUUGGCGGCUGUUCCCCGGAAGUGGUUUCCCUCCCCCUCAGCCUCGGGGCGGUCCAGCUGUCCCUGUAAGGGCGGGGACUGGGGGCUGCCUUGGGAUUGAAUGCCCCGCAGCUUUUGGAAGCCUACCUCAGAUAUUUGCUUAAGCAUUGUUGGAAAGGCCGCACUAUGGCUUUGGGCAGCGUUCACAUCCUUAGCCCGCCUUAAGCUGUGUGGCCUUGGGUGGGUUAUAUGACCUCUCAGAGCUUCCAGGUAACUUCUAUGCAAAAUGGGAUGGUAAAAUCCGAGUUGGUGCUAAAUCGUAACGUUCAUGCUGCAUAGCAGGACUUCAGCAGACCAGCCUGUGUCGUCUGGUAGCACCACUGGCUCUGGGUAGAUCUGAGAAGCAGCUUUCUAAGGCGGCCCACUCGGCUUGCAUUCCCGCCCGGAUUCAAAGGACUGACAAUUCCUUCUCUCCCUCAACAAGGUCUUCCCUGUCUAAUCCUAACAAGCAAGCCUUAAAGAAUUGCAGAGUUUCUGGUUGAAGGUUCUCCAGGCCCCCUUGUUUAAGGACAGAUUUACUCUCACUGAAGUACAGAAGAGAAUCCGAAAAACGCAAGUGUCUCUACCUUAAGCAGGAGAGGGAGUGGGUGGGAGCUCCCCAGAUGGCCUUUACCUCGGACUUUUUUCUUUCUCCCUCAUUUGGGAUGCUAGUGACCUGGGCUCUGGCCCACAACACUUUCUGUAAGCAAGAACCCUGGAUGUCAUGACUAAGGAAGAGAUCUCGUGUUUAUUCUUCAUGAGGAAUCUUAGUUCCCAGACCAGGGAUCAAACCUCUGCCCCCUGCGUUGGGAGCAUGGAGUCAUAACCACUGGACAACCAGGGAAGUCCCUUGGGAGAUCUGCUCUCUCUGCUUCUCAAGGUGCACGUGACCAAACGUGGGAGCCCCUCGGUUCAGCCAAACGGCACAAAGAAUCGCCUCCCUUUCCUUCUAGGCUGCAUGUCCGGUAGAGAGAAUAUAUGAUUGGCCAAAUGUGUAUCAGGAUCCAUCCCUGGUCCAAGCAGUGAGGAGUGGCGCGGGAUGGGUGCCAAGGCCUGGAGGCCCGUGGGCUGGACAGAUACUCCUGACACUUUCUGCUGCACCUUUGCACUGGAUUAAAUGUCCUGUGCAUGAAGAAUAAUCAUAAUUAAAAGUAAUCAGGAGCUCUUCCGUGAGGUGAGACUCGUUUGAACAAGAAAGGUGGCUGCCAAAGCACACUGAACAUGCCUCGGGUAUUCAGGAUGCCGAAACCGUCGUGCUCAUCAGAGUCCAUUCUGGGUUAAUCCGAUCAGUGCGGAAUGUCUUACCGCACGGAGAUGUCCAAAGCUUCGUGAUACGCUUUCUGGAAUGGUGGGAUUACGAGACCAACCAAGGAUGACCUGAUGAAACGAUUUUAAGAAGCCCUAGAAAAUUCUGGCUCAUUACCUGGGUGAAAAUCACUGCACACAUAACAAUGAACGUUAAUUGCCGAGUCCCUUGUCACCUGCUUAGAAUGCUCAUCUGCGACAGCUCAGUUGUCACCCCCAAAAUGAGAGAACUCUGAGCCUUCCUGAGUCCGUUAGGCUUUCAAUGUGCUUUUCUUACCUAAAGGUAUCUGUUUCUGAGCAUUGCAUCACCUACGUGGCAAAAAAAAAAGAAAAAAAAAAAAAAGCUGUAUAUGGAGUUGGACUCCUGAACAGAGAGGUGCUUUUUAUAAUACCAAGCAGCUACUGAUUUUCCUGUGUGCACUCAAGGGAGCAUAAACCACCUGGCUGAGCUGAGUUGUGCCUAUCCAUCAGGCAUCAGACGGCCCCCAGACACCAGCUUUGCUCACUAAUCAAAAGCAAUGUUGUCGAUGUACCAGGUUAAUGCACAGAUUGAUAAAGUUAUGCAGUUAUCGUGGGACUAGGGAAGUUUCAUAACCAUGCCAGGUUCUACACUUCUACAAUUCAUCGUGUUUACGGACCACUUUGGUUAUUUUUCUCCAAGGAUGAAUCAGUGCCUUUAAUCUUGUUAUCAUCUAUACAUCACUGAGGUAUUUUGCUCUGUGCUCCUACCUGUUUACAAGAUUAAUGAAGCUCUUCCUUUGGCUCUCAAACCAGCAUAUGAUGUAAGAACCAACUGGCAACUUCCAACUCCUGGGAACCCCACACACAGCUAGCUCUCUGACAUCCAAACCAUCAACAUUUUAAGAAAACUAAUAGGGAUUUGGAACUAUGUUGCUGUCCCCAAACCAUAUGGUAGUGGAAAAUUUCCCUGAAGUUAGCCCUGGGCUUGGUGGCAGGGUUGACCACCACACCUGGCCUUUCUUCAGAGGUCUUUUCUCUGCCUUUCUGCUUGAAGGGUCGGGGCUUGAUUAUCUACUGUCCUCCACUGUCCCCUUGAAAGGAAAUCUUUCAAAUAACCCACUUCACAAUUUACCACGAGCAGUGAAUUUUUAAUAUGACUUGCAUAAUGGUGAUUAUAUAUUUCUGUUUCUCGAAAAACAGGAGAGACUUUAAAAUAUGAUAACCUUGGACAAGCAGUGUGAUUUUUUAACAAGAAUAUGUUAUGUGUGGGACUUCCCUGGUGGUCCAGUGGUAAAGAAUCCGCAUUCCAACGCAGGGGACAUGGGUUCAAUCCCUGGCCGGGGAACUAAGAUCCAGCAUGCCGCAGGGCAGCUAAGCCCACGUAUCACAACUACUGAGCCCACACGCUCUGGAGUCUGUGCGCCACAGCUAGAGAGAGAAAACCUGCACGCCACAACUAGAGAGAAGCCCGCGUGCCGUAAUGAAGAGCCCUGGCGCCAUCAUGAAAGAUCCUGCAUGCCGCACCUGAGACCCAAUGCAGCCCAAAUAAUAAUAAUAAUAAAUGAAAUAAAUAUUAAAAAAAGAUUAUGUUAUGCAUAAGCUGCAGUGAAAGAAUAUUUAAUUGUCUAAUACAUUUCAUCUUAAUAUUGUUUGUUCCAUUAUUUUUAUAUUUUGGUGGUUCUUCAUAUUUUUUAGUCUAAAAAAAAAGAUGUAUUUUAGGAGUAGGUGGCUCUGACAUCCAGUUCUAAUUUUCCAAAUAGACAUUUCUGAGGUGAUUUUUCUAAAAAGUCACAUUUUGGCUUUUGCACAAGCAAUUGAGUUACACUUCCCAGGAAUAAAACUUUUUUUCAAUAAAAUUUACACUCUAAUAUCCCUGAUAUGAUGAAUUUCAGAUUUCAAAAUAAUGAGGAAAUAAGUAUACUAAAUUAAUUUCAAGAAGCGUUACUUUUAGCACUUCCUGCUGCUCUGGCGAUAGCAAAAGCACAUACCUUUCCAUAGUGGAGAACUCGUUAGAAUCAAUUUUUUAAGUGGCUUGAUGGGGAGUCUACGGUGACUGCAAGACCCAAGAAUUUGUUUCUUCGGCCUUUUAAUAAGAUUCUAGUAGAGAUGUGGCUUACUAUUUCUAGGCAACUUGUUCCUCACAAUAAUAGUGAAUAUUCUUUUGUGUUUCAUAGACCUGUGUGUUCUGCUGAGUUCAAGAUUUCAGGUAGAGCCAAAUAAAAGCUGUUGCAGUAGUUGGUGACUCACUAGGGCUAUUGUUUUGUCCUUGUCCACACUGUCAAGAAGCAGUCAUAGCCUCUUCAAAUCAGGGUGCUGCCCACACUCCAUGCAGGUGCUGCAGCCCGUCUCUGGCCUGGUGUCUGAGUUUAUUGCUGUCCUUCUCUGGGCAGAAGGUCCACCGGCUUUCAAAUCCCAUUAAACUCAAAGUCAUAAGGAGAGCAAAAUGUUGUGACUGUAAAUACAGCUUCUCUUUCAUAUCUAUCCAGGUAUUUCUGUUACACUUGGCGGAAUCUCUGUCAGUUGAAACUUGUAGAGUACAGAUGGCAGACAAGCAUAUGUCAUCAGGGAAAUGCAAAUUCAAACAGUAAUGAGAUAGCACUACACAACGUUAACAUGGUGGAAAUCCAAGACACUGACAGCACCAAAUGUUGAUGAGGAAGUGGAGCAACAGGAACUCUCGUCCAUUGCUGGUGGGAAUGCAAGAUGGUGCAGCCAGCUCAGAAGACAGUUUGGUGGUUUCUUACAAAACAACAUGCUCUCAUCAUACAGUCCAGCAAGUGUGCUCCUUGUGUCUAUCCUAAGGUAGACAUCCACACAAAAACCUGCACGUGGGUCUUUGUAGCAGCUGUAUUCAUAAUUGCCAAAACCUGGAUGCAACCAAGAUAUCCUUCAGUAGGUGAACGGAUACAUAGACUGUGGUGUAUCCAGGCAGUGGAAUGUUAUUCAAUGCCAAAAAGAGAUGCGCUAUCAAACUAUGAAAAACGUGGAAGACCCUUAAAUGCAUGUUACAAAGUGAAAGAAGCCCAUCUGAAAAGGCUACAUACUGUAUGAUUCCACCUAGAGGACAUUCUGGAAAAGGAAAAACUGUGGCUACGGUAAAAAGAUCACUGGUUGCCAAGGGUUGGGGCUGGGGAGGUGGCGCGGGAGGGAUGGAUAAACAGAGCACAGAGGAAGUUUAGGGCAGUGAAAAUACUCUUAAUGAUACUAUAAUGGUGGAGACGUCCACACCCACAGAAUAUACAACACCAAGAGUGAGCCCUAACGUACUAUGGAUUUGGGUGAUAAUGCCGUGUCAGUGUAGGUUCAUCGACUGAAAUCAGUCACCUCUCUGGUUGAUAAUGGAGGAGACUCUACAUCUGCAGGGGCCGAAUGUACAUAUGAAAUCUCUGUACCUUCUUCUCAAAUAUACUGUGAGCCUAAAACUGCUCUCAAAAAAAUAGUCCAUAAAAACAAAAACAAAACUAGUAGAGUAGUCACAGUUUGGUGUGGAAUGUCGGAUGAUUUUAAGAGGUUGGAGCCUUAAUUGAUUAUCUUUAAAUGCAGUUUAAUCCUCUGGUUGUUGUAAAAUUAAAAAUACCCUGUGUUCCUCUCUCUUGGUUUACUGCAUAGUUUCUUUGCAGACAUUCUGGCUCUAGGCCCGUGUUUGGGUUAUUUUAUGAAUCUACCGGUGUGUCCUAGAUCCAGAAACAUGCUUCCUGCCGGUACCUUCCAGGCUCCAUGCCUUGCCUUUCCCUGGGGUUGCUUUGAAACCGUCUGAGUCAGUGCCUUUCUGUGUCCUGGCACGGGUCUCCCUGGAUGCUACACCCUGCCAGGCACCUCAACAUGAAUUUUUACUCCAGAAUCCACAGGAACCCAUAUUUCCAUCUUUCUGUGCAAAUGUGUGGCGUUUUAAUAAUUUUAGAAACAGUUUACUAAGUACCCACUACGAGCUAGAUACUGCACUCAACCCUAGACAUCACAGUAUCGUGUGUUCUGCGCAACAACCUGGACAAGAGGUGGGCAGUUAUUUUAUCCCUUGUGAGAUCAGGAACCUAAAGUUUACGAGUGUUCAGUAACUUUCCCAAGGUUAUACGGCUGAGAAUUGGACCAGCCUAAACCAAAGAGCUGUGUGAUCCCAAAGCCCGCACUUUUAACCACCACGAUGCGUCUGAGCUGAGCACUUUGCUUCCGUCACUGGCUUUCUGCCACGUCUAGUGGGGUCUAAGCCGUCUCAGACCCCGGCCCUGUUUGCAGCAGCGUCCCGUGCUUCUGUGUGUGCGCGCUCCGUUUCAGAGCACUCCGUUUGCUCCUGUUCCUCCAUCCGUGUUCUUCCAUUCAGGCCUUAUUCGCACACGUGGUUCCCUCGGUUGUACCGCCUGCUUCCCCCUCCUCUGCCUGUCUUGUUCCCUCCUCACCCCAGGCGCCCGCUGCAGACCUCACCCGUCACACGUGACGCUUCCUCUGCCGUCGCCUGCUAAGCUAGCUUCAUCGCUCUGAGCUCUCUUCUGUGGCUUCAUGAGUCGAGUUGUGGUUUCUUUCUGGUGUGGCUCUGUGACACUCUGAGUUCCUUAUAGACCAGAUCACGUUUCCUUCCUCUGUGUAUCUCCAACACCACCCCCAGUGCUGAGACCUUGGUACUUACUGGUGUAAUAAAUACUUGCUCAAGUUACCCAUGUGAACAUUUCCUGCCGCUUUGCUCCCCCAGCCCUGGUUGACGCUAGUUCUUAAUGUCACAUCAUCAAAAUGUGAUGGCAUCUAAGAGUGUCUUUCUACUGCAUCUUCUCCACUGUCUUAAAAGUGAUCAACUCAGCAUCUCAUCACUUCUGGUAUAGAUGGUGCACAUCUUAUAGGCGACUUGCCUUCAGAGCUUUUGUUGAUACUAUCUUCCUUGUGUACAGACCCUUCAUCAAAUUCCAUGUGUCCUACUUUUCCAUCAGUGUCUGCCUUGGCACCCGUCUUUGCCCUGUGCGUUCUUGGGAAUGCUUCUUGGUGAUGCUUUUACCCUGUGGCAUGAUUUUACUGGCUUGGCCAUGAGACCUUAUUGUGUGUGGUCUCCUGUAUUCCCAGCAAGAUAGAAGAACCUUGAGAACCUUGAAACACCUGUCUUUUGCCCCUUGAUAUAGUUUUUUUUUCAGUGAUGGUGAUAUGCCUUGUGUUAGUCCAUCAGUAAGCUCCAGUAACUGUGUAUUCAGUAUCUGGAGUCAAUAGAAGGUCCGUUAUUCUCAUUCUCUCUCUCUCUCUGUCUCUCUCUCUCUGUCUCUCUCUCUCUCUCUCCCCCCACCCCUUUCCAUCCCUCCUUCCUUCCUCUUUUUAAGUGUUGAUCUCUGAUCUUCAAAUUACAGAUUAGAAAUAGAAAUUUAAAAAUAAAUAAAAAUUUUAAUUUAAAUAAAAAUAAUUAAAAGGUAGUAGUAAAUAAUACCUACCAGUAAUACAAGGAUAGCCAUUGGUGGGCACGUAUAAGAAGGGUCCCUCUUUUUGCCCCCCUCCAUGAUUCUGCAUCACUGUCUUUCUUCACUGGCACCCACGCAUGUGUCAAGUGCCUAAUCAGCUUACAUGCUCAGUUUUCAAGGAUCGUGAGUUUUGUUGUGCUUCUUCCUUUGCACAAACUGUUGACUUCACUGAGCAGGUCCUCCUCCCUCCUCUGUCCUGAUUGUUUGGAAUCUCCCCACCGGGUCUUUGGACCAGCUAAGACUCCCUUCCUUUGGGUUAGCAUCUCAAAUUGUGUCCUUCCUGGUUGAGGUGGACAGAGAUGCUCCCUCCCUCCUGUCUUCUUGAUCCACUAUUAUUACAUUUACCGACUGGCUCAUCACUGCUUAUUUACAUGACCAUAUUUAUGUAUAUCACUGUUUAUUUACAAACCGAGUUUGGAUUUUAUCUUGUUCCUCUUUGUGUCCGAAUACCAUGCGAGCUGCCUCGUCCAUCCUGGCCAGGAAGCAGUUACUGAAAGGUCCUUCCAACUGCAGAUACAUUUUAAAGACUUGAUUACUUAUCCAGCCUUGGGCUACCUUGUGAUGGAAAAGAAGUGACCUUCUUUCAUGAACAAUAAGCACAAACAUCAACAGCAAUAAUUUUUGCCUCAAUAAUUGAAUUACUUAUUUUUAGAAAAACCUUCCCAUUUUUAUGUGUCAAUGAAUUAGUGACUUUCACCCAAACCAUAAUGAGAGAGCUGGUAAUUUUCUUUAGGUAUGUGUUGGUAGAGUUUCAUUAGAAUGGGGUUAUAUAGCUCCUUAAAAAAGCAGGUGUUUUAGAGGGCCGUGGAGAGUUCUGCUUUCACCAAUUCCUGAGGGACAUGACUUUGUGGAAACACUAGGUUAGCUUUCCUGAGACUGCAGUGGACAUCUCAGUUUUGCUUUGCAUCUGGUGUAUGACCUGGGCGUGUCCCUCCAAGGUACAGUUCCCUCAUUUGUAAAAUAUAUCAUAAUUUUUGAUCUCAUCUCAUAAUUUUACAAGAUGAUUUAUAAACACGAAGUGAUAUAAAAACAUAAGGGUUUAAUAAUAUCUAGUUACUCAAACUUAACUUCACUGCGUUUUCCAAUAUAUAUACUUCAGCUGCUUAUUAUUAUUAUUAUUACAUUCUUAUUUCUUCUUUCUCUUCUAUUUCGUCUUUCCAUCUCCUCCUCCGCUUCUCCUCCUCCUACUUGUCUUUUCCAGGUGAUGUCUUCUUGUGACCCGUGCUCAUCUGGACGUGAGGUUUUUGCUCUAUAGUUCACUAAGAUGCUCCCUGCAAUAGGGGACUUUAGGAAUUUUAGUCAAAUACAUUUUUCUUUACAGAAGAAAGCUGAAAGGUAAAAGGAAAGGCAGCUCACAUUUACGGCCACCUCCCCGUCUCAGAAAGUGUUCCUGCUGCUUUCUGCUCCGUGAUUCACUUGGUCCCCUCAGCCCUUCAGGUGGACAGAGCUGGCUUCCGGUUGCAGGGAGGAACAUAGCCAGCGUGCUACCCAAAGCCCGUGCUGCAGGAGAAUUUAACGCAUGCCUAUGAUACAUUUCACCAUUUAGCAGCAUUUGGAGAGUAGUUUGGGGGCCCUGGCGGAAAAAAUAAAAAUCAAACUCAGUCUUCAUGGGUGGACGUCUUCCCCAAAUCUUUAUGUGGGAUUCCUACCGACACGUGACCUGGCUGCGCCCUCGGCUCUGUUCUGAACCAUUGGGUCCAAGUAUUUUAUUCUGGCUCCUUAUCUUGUUACUGUUGACAAGCUUAGUACUUAAUAUAAAUAACAAAAAAUUCUGCAGAGAGAAAAGUGUGGCUGACAGUGGGCACACUAAUUGAUCUUCUUUCCUUUUUCCUUUCUGUGUUGGAACUGACAUCUCCAUAGGAAAUAUUCUUCUGUCUAAAAGUAAAAGACCUCUAUUUAAUUUCCUUCAAGAUAGUGAAUUCUUUCCAAGGAAAUGCUGUUUUCUGUGGGGCCUUUUUUCUGUUCCUCCACCUUGCCACUGCUUUGUAAUUUACUUACUGUUCUCUUCUUUGAUGAGAACACUGCUUUGCCAUAUGUUUCCACCUUUGUUUUUCCUGCAAAUGCCUUUCGCCCCCUUUGUUUAAUUUCUCUGCAACAGGCGUGCUCUAAUACAUUUUCACAUGCGUCUCGUGGUUAUUUGAUUCCAGAUCUGCUCCUUGCGUCACGCAUGCACAGCCACAUGGGAAUUCUGUGGAAUGCCUGACACUGGUGAGGUUGGUUGACAACUCAACACUGGUUCCCACUUUUUUCCUAAGUGUUUCUGAAAACUCAUAAAAAACAAUCAUGUAUAGCAUCAUCUAUUUGUAUUUUUCUCCUUAAAAAGGUUUUUGUGUCUGUUUGAUAGGACACGUGUCCUUGUGAGUCAGUUUCUUGUGUUUAGGUCUUUCAUAACAUUUGUUUUGAAA